ACGGGGGGAGCAAGCGUUGUUCGGAUUUACUGGGCGUAAAGGGCGCGUAGGCGGCCAGCGCAAGUCAGUUGUGAAAUCUCCGGGCUUAACCCGGAACGGCCAAGUGAUACUGUCGCGCUAGAGUGCGGAAGGGGCAAUCGGAAUUCUCGGUGUAGCGGUGAAAUGCGUAGAUAUCGAGAGGAACACCUGAGGUGAAGACGGGUUGCUGGGCCGACACUGACGCUGAGUGCGCGAAAGCCAGGGGAGCAAACGGGA
rnacentral:rRNA from 1 species